AAACUAUUCCCUAGUUAACCGUAUUCUAUUCCUAUGAUAUAUUAAUAUAUUUAUUUUCAAAUAAUUGUGGAAUACAUACAGUACGCCUAAGUAACACAGGCGUUUACUCGUUUAAUGCUGCUUUAUUUUAAAAAUAAAUAUUCCACUUUCCAUCUAAUAUUUUGAUUGGGUCACUUAACCUAAUAAUAGCAAUACUUAUAUGAGAUAUUGUGAGCCGUCAUUAUGAUUCUUAACCACCUCCUCCUACUUCCUACUUCCUACUUCCUACCUCUUAUCAUCUUUCUCAUUCUUUUAAAGUCUUUAAUCUAUACUUAACCGCUCAUCGAUCCAUAAUCCUAGAUAAUAUUGUUUGAUCUAGUUGAUAAUUUGAGUAUAUACCCACAUCAAAUCAUAUCUAAAAUCCUAACCCAAUUCCCCGCAAAUACAUUAUAUGAAGCCGUUUCGUAACAUAUUGACUGUCUCCUACAUCUAUGCAUUUCCUCCAUCAUGGUCAAUCUUCGACAGAUUCAUCAGAAUACACUAGGAGGCAGACGAUUCAAAACCCGAGUUUCAGAGUCAAUGGAAGAAACCCCAAAUGAUGCAUCAGUUGGGGACUUGACUUGAAGCAAUAAAGUGCGCACUAGCAGUCAUGGUUUAGAAAAGCCAACCAUGAUCUUCGAGUAGAUCACCGCCAACUCAUGUUCUUUCUAGUGUUAUUUUUUCUUUGACAUAUGUAUCAAUGUAUGUACCGACCUGGCAAAAUGGCGGAAUAGAUAUAUUUCGUAAAAUAUCAAUGACUUCAUUCAUUUUUGGGAAAUGCAAUGCAAUGUUAAUAAUAACAGUUUGUAUUUGGAAAGUAGAGAUUUUUUUUCCUUUAAUUUUUUUAUUGGAUCCCGUAAUUUUAGUCUUAUAUUUUCAUCUACUCGGUAAUUCAUAAUUAAAAAAUACUAUUUUUCUUUAAAAAAAAGAAGAAGGAUAGAGAACGGUUAUCUAAGCAACCCGUCUAUUCUUCUUUUGAAUGUAGUACGCCUAUGUACGGAAGAUGUUUUGUAUCUCAAUAUUUAAUAGGAAGAAUAGAGCACCGUUAUGUACGGAAGGAGCUUUUUAUUAUAGAGUAUAAGAGACGGUUAUGUACGUUAACCGUUAUAUAUUCCUUCUACAUUUACAAAUUUUAGAAAGGGAAUAGAGGACGCUUAUCUCUUAUCACUGUACUUUAUGACUAGGAAUAUAAAACGCUUCUUUUACCCGUUUUAUAAACUUUAUAGUGCGCUGAGUUGGAGAACGCCUCUAAGGCGUCCUAUAAAGUGUAUUUCAACAGUACUCUAUGCCCUUUUUUUGUAGUAGUGAAAAUUCCCCUAUUUGAGUCAAAAGACCAACAAACAAUUUCUGCUAGUCUUCUCAAUCGUGUCAUGUACUCCAUAAGAGUCAUCCAUCACCUUGAUGUGUCUCCAUCAUUUUUCAUUCAAUUCCUUGAUUCAUCAACUUACCUAUAAAAACUGAAGACCGAAACUAGACUAGCCUCUCUUAAUCAACAAUUUACAUUCUCCAUUUCUUCCAUUUGCCAACACAAUCAAGAUGAGUUGUUGCAUUCAUGGAACACCAAAGCCUCUAUAAAUAGUUGAUCAGUUAUCUCAGACAAAAUACAAAACAUAAUAGUCAUCCAAUUUCUAAAUUCAUAAGCCCUCUUGAUAAAUUCAAAUCUAUCUUCUUUGAACAAAUUAAUUGUAACUAGCCAUCAUUAACACCACCGCCUCCCACCUUCGAUCGGGAACCACCACAAGGAAUCACCCUUAAAUUUCAGACCACUAAACACCAAUCUCGUAGCCCUGUACUCUCCUUUCUUCCUCCUCUACUCGACUCUCCAGCUGCCCCCUUUUUCGCGACGGCUCCAUUCCGACAUCAACCACCCAGUUAUCACCCUCCGCUGGAUUUUUUGCUGCCACCAUCUCGCCACACGGCUGUACCUUUCAUACGCAGAGCAGCGACCGGUUAGCAGCUGAUCUCCUUUUUCUUCUCUGCUCCUCUACGUUGCGAAACGGUAUAAAUUUAUAAUACGUUAAUGGACCUCCGUAUUCCGUAACUUUUCUUUGUUAAAGUUUUUUUUUUUUUUUGAGGUAAUUCUUUGUUAAAGUUUAUUGGGCUUUUAUUUCCAUUAAAAAAAUUUGUGGGAUUUAUUAUCUUAUAAGUUGACGUUUAAAGUAAGCUACUAAGAUUAAUGUAUAAGUGAAGAUUUAAAAGCAAAUGAUUAUAUUCAAUCCUUUUAUAGACAAAAUGUGUUCAAAUUAUUAUUAUUAUUAAUUAUUAUUAUUAUUAUUAUUAUUAUUAUUUUAUUAUUAUUUUAUUAUUAUUAUUAUUAUUAUUAUUUUAUUAUUAUUGUUAUUAUUAUUAUUAUUAUUAUUAUUAUUAUUAUUUAAAUCAAAUGCUAACAAAGUCAAAUAUUUUACAAAUAGUUAGUGGGAAGCCGAGAUACAAUCUGGGCCCCCACUCCCCUGACUAUAGAAAAUCCUAUCAUAGUAAAAGUAUGAGCAGCAGCACGAGCCCUAAUGUCUUGAGUCCUAGAAAACUUCUGAAUCCGCUUCAGCAACGCAACAACAUCCUUAUCCAGCUCCCCGAAAGAAGAGAAAGCGAACGGAAGAAAGCCAUAACCAAUGGCCCUGCAACGUGCUUCGUACUUGACCCGUUUCCGAAUAGCCGCAUCAGUCACAACUCGGCCCGAAGCAAAGCCAGACAACCCAGAUUAUUAUUAUUAUUAUUAUUAUUAUUAUUAUUAUUAUUAUUAUUAUUAUUAUUAUUAUUAUUACUAAAAGUAAGUACCUUGACCAUACUUAUUUUCAUAAAGAUCUCGACCCUCGGACCUCAGGAAGGAUGAUAAUCAAGGCUAAAGAAAAAGCCCAGCCAAUCACGAAAUUGAGGUGCCGACCAGGACGACGGAUAUGAGUAGUAGCAAGGAUUCCACCAUGAUAAGGUUCACCUAGUUUAAGCUUAAUUUAUACUAAGUUCAAGUAAGAAUUUUCUACUAAGUUGUGUGAGCCACUUUUAUAUAAUAAUAUAAAAGAUAGUUCUGUUAGUUUUAUAAAUUAAAACUAUUAUGAGGAUAAUGACUUUGUAAUUCCCAAGAGGGAGUUACGGAAGUAAUGUCCCGGUCGAAUCAGGGUAAUUCCGCUUCUUAAUUACUGGAACUAGAGGUUGGGGCGUUACAACUUGGUAUUAGAGCCACGGUUUUGAAUCCUGCAUUUGAAACCUCGCGGGUUUUGCAUGUACUAGAAUUAGAUUAGGCUUUAAGUUAGAGUUGUAGGAUAACAUUUCAUUAAAAAGGAGUAAAAAUACCCUAAGUUAAAAUGAAUAUAACUGGAAAUGAGUGUGAGAGUAGGCACGAGAUAAAAAAAUGAUUUAUUUUCUAAAUUUUUUCUUAAUCAUGCAUGAUUAGAAGAAUGUUGAGGUACUCAUGACGAUGCUUUCAUCGAUAAUGGUGCUCACGAUGAUGAAUAUGAGGACCAGCCUCCAGGAGGUCAUGAAGAAAGGAUGGAACGAUUAGAAAAUGUGAGUGCGAUGUAAACCGAGUUAGUUCAAGAUUCUCGGAAGAAGAAAGAUGUAAAUGAGAAUAAGAGUGCGGCGAUGUUCAAGAACUUUUCAUCUCUGAAACCACCGUCCUAUGUUGGCAAGCCCGAUCCAGUUGAGUUUGAAUAUUGGAUUUGUCGUAUAUAUCAGUUAUUCAAGACCUUGCAAUGCCCUAAGAAAUGGAGAGUUGAUUUUGCUGUAUUUACUUAACGGGUCAAACAAGAUUAUGGUGGAAAGUCAGCAUGGAAAGGAAGAAUGAGCCGGGAUUUGGUUGGACCCAACUCCUGAAGUUAAUAAGAGACAAGUUUUACCCACCAUCCUUGAGGAAACAAAAGGAAGACAAGUUUCUUCAUUUACAACAAGGGACGAUGAGUGUAAUGGAAUAUGCAAAUAAGUUCAUGGAGUUAUCAAGAUUUGCUCCGGAGUUGGUUCGACAGAGCAAUCCAGAAUGAACCGCUUUGAGAGUGGCCUUCACCUCAAGUACCAAGACAGGUUGGCAACUCAAAGGUUUUCUUCUUAUCAAGAUAUGGUUGACAUUGCAGUUAAUAUGGAACGAGUGGUGCUACUCCGAGAAGCACAAAAUGCCGGGUAUAAAAGAAAGAGUGAUAAUCAAAACUAAUGAGGAGCAAAGAGGCCUAACCAAGGCUAUUAAGGAAAUCACAAGAGGAAUGAUGCUGGCAAUAAGGGUCAAAGUUAUCACGGAGGCAACAAAAAAUCACUAUAAUAGAUCACAAGAAUGUGCCAAAUGUGGAAGAAGGAGUCAUGUUGAGAGCGAGUUUCGAGAUGACACAAACAUCUUCUUUCGAUGUGGACGCCCUGAUCAUUACCUCAGAGACUGUCCAAGGCCAGUAGCACCAACCGCAAGAGGAUCAUGGACCAGCCUCAACUGGCAUUGAUCGUGGAAGAAACAACAACAACAAUACAGGAGGCGUAAACCGCAAUCCACCAUGACCACCGACAACUGGAAGAGUUUUUGCAAUGAGGCAAGAAGAGGCAGAUGAGGACGAUAAUGUUAUCACCGGUACUUUCUCUAUCCACUCUUAACCUGCCCAUGUUCUCUUUGAUUCUGGAGCUUCGUAUUCUUUUAUUUCUCCAUCAUUUGUGAAACGCUUAAAAUUCAAACCAUGCUAUGAUUUUCAGGUUAUGGGCAUUUCCCUCCUACUAGAGAAAUUAUGAAACGUAGAAUCCUAUAGAGAAAUUGCCCUAUCAUGUUAGAGGAAGUAUAUUUCCUAUCUGACCUAAUAGCUUUUGACCUAUCUGAUUUUGAUGUGAUUUUGGGAAUUACCUGGUUGACUAAGCACAAGGCUAGCAUUAAUGGUUUAAGGCAGAGUGUGACCCUUACAACACCAAAUGGGGACAGGAUUUCGUUCCAAAUAUUAAGGAGAAAACCGUUAAUUCAAAUUGUCUAUAAUUUGAGAGCUCAGAAAAUGAUUGAGGGUGGCUUUACCGGUUAUCUUUGUAGUGUGGUUGACCUUAAUACUUCUGAACCAUCCAUUACCGACAUACACAUUGUUUGUGAAUACCCAUAAGUUUUUCCCGAGGAGAUACCUGGUAUGCCCACACCAAGAGAGACAGACUUUAGUAUAGAACUAAUUCCAGGAUCCACUCCUAUUUCCUCGGGUAGUGGUUGUUCUUUGGCUUUAGAGGUUAUGUUAAUCUCCCUCUUAAGUCAGUGUUAAGUGAUUCUUGAUGCUUUCAAAACCCAAUAUUUGAACGUUGCUCCUUGUUUUUUUUGGGGUUGGGUGGGAGGGGUUAGCACGCUAACCAAGUCGUGUUUAAUGUCUCACGCCGCUUGUGUUAAAUUUACAAGGUCUUUUACUCUUUCACCCUUUCCCGAGACAUUAUUAUCAUUUUGUUUCUUUUAUUGUUUUUCAAUCUCUACAAGUUCUUGAAAGAGACUCCACUGGGUAACCACCCUAGCUUCUACGCCAUUUGUUAUAAAGGAUUCACAGAUCACACGGUAACACUUUGUCGAUCGGUGGUGCAAACAAGGCAGGUUCGAUAAACACGGGAUGACACAAGAAGAUCAUACUUAAUGCAAAUGAGAAUGGUGCGGCCUAUCUACGUACGUAUUUUCUUAACUAUGUAACAUGUGUGAUGGUCUAUAAAGUCCUUAGUGGUUUAGUAGUUUGUAACACUUUUUUUAUUUAUGCAAAUUACAACCUUUAUAUGUCAAGAAACAAAAACAAAAAAAAAACAAAUAAUAAUUGAUUUUAUGUUUUUUUUUGCUGUGUUUUG